rnacentral:lncRNA from 1 species
UGAUUUACAUGUGCGACAGACAGUAUUGAAGUGGAACAAAGGAAAAUGCAAAUUUCGUCAAAGCCAGUUUGAAGAUUCUCAACAUUUUACAGACCACCUUAAUAGACAUAGCUAUCCAAAUGUGUAUUUUUGUGCAAUGAGUCAUUUAAGCUGCCAUUCCAGCUUGCCAAGCGUACAAAAAGUCACAGGAUAUUUCAAGCUGUGUAGUUUUCCAGAAUUCCAUGAGCUUUUGGAAGAUCUUCCUCUGCUAUAUGAACAUGAAGCUCAGCACUGUUUAAAACACCAGAAUCAUCUGCACAACCCAGUGAGACAAUUCUUCGGGAUGUUCAUACAGACUCCAAUCCUAAUCAUCAGGAAAAGGAUUCAUCUAGUACUGAGAAACCAUUAGUCUGUCAGUUUCUCCUAGCAAAUCAAGGAAAGAUUCUACAGAACCAAAGACAUGUAUAGGAAGUAUGGAAAAGAAAACAGUUUAGUUCAGAAUGGAAAUGAACGUUCUGAUGACACUGUUUAAAAUAUAAGCUUGUUAGACCAAAAGAUGGCUGACAUAGAGCCAAAUUCUGAAAAUAAUUGUAGUAGUCAUGAUUUAGUUAAUGGACACAGUGAAACAGAGCAAACACCUUUAGUUUUAUCAGAUCCUGCUUUGAAAAUUGAUAUAAACAGAAUCAGGACAGAAAAUGGUUCCAUUUUACCUAGUGUUGUACCACAAGAACACAAUACCUUACCAGUAUCUCAGGCACCUUCCAAACCAAAUCUGACAAAUGAACAUACUUCGUAUGGCUUAAUUUUAACAAAACCAGUUACCUUCACGAACAGUAUCUUAGUAUGCCCAAACAUGCAUAAUUUCUGACUGAUACCUGUCCUGAUCAAGAUAACAUGUAUAGGAAAUUAGUGAAAAGAUUAAGAUGUGGCAAAUGCCUGACCACCUACUGUAAUGCAGAAGCACUUGAGGCUCAUCUAGACUGAUAAAAAUGUU